rnacentral:rRNA from 1 species
CCCUUAGAUGUCCUGGGCCGCACGCGCGUUACACUGAUGCAUUCAACGAGCUUAUAACCUUGGCCGAUAGGCCUGGGCAAUCUUGUUAACGUGCAUCGUGAUAGGGAUAGAUUAUUGAAAUUAUUAAUCUUGAACGAGGAAUUCCUAGUAAACGCAGAUCAUCAAUCUGCAUUGAUUACGUCCCUGCCCUUUGUACACACCGCCCGUCGCACCUACCGAUUGGAUGGUCCGGUGAAGCCUCGGGAUUGUGGUUCUUGCCGCUUUAUUGUGGCGUGACCGCGAGAACUUGUCUAAACCUUAUCAUCUAGAGGAAGGUGAAGUCGUAACA